rnacentral:lncRNA from 1 species
UCUUCUGAAGAAUUUUUUGCUUUAGCAAAACGGAUAGCUUCUCGGCAAGCCAGGGAUUCUAUAAUGAGAGGGUUAGAAAUAGCUUGAAAUCUCUAGCAUAACCAACUAGAGGAAGAGUCUCUCACUAACGCAACUAUGGCCCCGAAGUUGGCUCAUUUAUUAAUCGAGGAAUCAAAGUUAAUUUUGAUGUAUCCCCUUAAAGGUAGAGAGAAGUGACAAGAUAAUGCAUGAAGGUAACUCAAGGGGAGAGAGGAGGUAGGAAGGUCUUGAGUUGCAUAGAAGUCAUCAUGGCAGUUCAGAGCAUUCAAAAUUACCUUAUUGAAUAAUAAGCUGCGAUUCUAAAAUUGUAGAGUCUUUUGUUUUUCAAUAUGUGCCAUAGGAGGAAGACAGAAUGUGUGAUCAAAGCUAGUCCUUGUUCAUGCUAUCUAAGGGUAAAGGUGAUUUCAAUCCAAAAGUCUUGCAUCAUUCCCCUUAGAGAUGUGGCACUCUCAAGACUAAUGGUGAGUGCAGCCAAACCUCAUCAGCUUUUUGGUAGCUAAAGAAAAUACGCUGAAUUGACUCUAUCUCUCUAUAGAAGGCACACUCAUUGGAAAUAUGUG